rnacentral:rRNA from 1 species
GACGAACGCUGGCGGCGUGCUUAACACAUGCAAGUCGAACGGAAAGGCCUCUUUCUGGGGGUACUCGCGUGGCGAACGGGUGAGUAACACGCGAGUAACCUGCCCUCGUCUUUGGGUUAACUUCAGGAAACUGGGGCGAACACCUGAUAGAAGCUCUUGCUGCACGGUGGGGGUUGGAGAGAUUCGGCGGUUGGGGGUGGACUCGCGGAUUAUCAGCUUGUUGGUGGGGUAGUGGCUUACCAAGGCUUUGACGGGUAGCCGGCCUGAGAGGGUGACCGGCCACAUUGGGACUGAGAGACGGGCCAGACUCCUACGGGAGGCAGCAGGGGGGAAUGUUGCACAAAGGGUGGCAGCCUGAUGCAGCAACGCCGUGUGCGGGAAGACCGCCUUUGGGUUGUAAACCGCUUUCGCUCAUGACGAAGCUUUGUGUGACGGUAGUGGGUAAAGAAGCACCGGCUAACUACGUG